GCUGUUGACAGAGCUCAUGCACCCCAAACUGGUCAGGAAAUAACAUUUGAUUUCAGGCUUCUCCUCCCCCUGCCCCUCAUCCUCCCACCUCUCCUGGGCUGCAGGCCCAUUUCCACCCCUCCAUUAUCUGGGCUCCCGCUUCAGGGCUGGGUCCCAGCUUGGAGCAUCCUCACUGGUAUCAGCCUCCACCUCUCACAGUCUGCUCUGCACUCACAUCAGCUGCUGGUUUGAUAAGCUGAUGGGCUCGAAGGUGUUCAGGGGUGAUAAGAAGUGGAUGUGCUAUCCGGGCGCCCAUGCCUGGGCCCAGAGGGGAAUUGUACAUUCUACGGAAAGCCUGGGCCCAGAGGGGAAUUGUACAUUCUACGGAAAGCCUUCAGGAAAAGUUUAUGAAAGCCUCAUGACUUGCAGAAAGAAGUCUAACCUGGUAUUUCAGCAGCGAGAGAUCAUGAUCAUGAGUAAAUCAUGGUCGUGAGUAAAUUAAAAGGUUGCUAUUUUAAGCCACUAAGUUUGGGGUGGCUGUUAUGCAGCAAUAGGUAAUUGAUACUCUCUGCUUCCCCUAAGCAUAUCAUAGGCCCCUUACCACCAAGCCCAGAAUGAACAUAUCAUUGUUCAUUCAUCCUCACAACCUGUCCCUCCCCUUCUGUCUCUCAUCUCAGGAACUGGCACCUCUCUAUGCCAAAUCAUACAUCUGCAGCCAGCCUUAACUCCCCACUGUUUUCAUCAAGUACAGCUGACUUUAUCUCCUAAAUAUCUCUAGAAUCUCCUCCACUGCCCCUGUCCAUCUGAUCUCAUCACAGGUCAUCCAGACCAGUAGUCAUUACAGCAAAGAACACACACCCCAGAAAAUGCUCAAUACAAUCACCAGGGUAGCUGGAAGAAAACAAGCAAUUCUAGUUUUAUUUAUUUUUAUUUAAAAAAUUAAGAAAUUAAAGCUUUUGGGCCAGGCGCGGUGGCUUACGCCUGUAAUCCCAGCACUUUGGGAGGCCGAGGCGGGUGGAUCACCUGAGGUUGGGAGUUCGAGACCAGCCUGACCAACAUGGAGAAACCCCAUCUCUACAAAAAUACAAAAUUAGCUGGGCGUGGUGGCGCAUGCCUGUAAUACCAGCUACUCGGGAGGCUGAGGCAGGAGAAUUACUUGAACCUGACGCCAUUCUCCUGCCUCAGCCUCCCAAGUAGCUGGGACUACAGGCACCCACCACCACACCCGGCUAAUUUUU
rnacentral:lncRNA from 1 species